CUUCUUUGGUGUCUGCGAAUAGAAAUGCCAAGCCGGUAAAGAAGGACCAGUUUCCUUGAAGCUGCUAAGACAAUAUUCAUGUUGUUUCUCCAGUGAGCUCUGUUUGGAAUGUCAUGUGCUACGUGGAGGCAAGACACCAGUCACCAGGAGAAAGGCGAGCUAUGACUCUUGCUCAGCAACUGUCUUUGGCCUGAAUUGGGUCAUGCGGUCAUGCUUGAGCCACUCCUGGGACGGGGAGGAUGAGAGGCCUGGCCUGAGUUCUAUCCCGUCCAUGCAGGGGAGAGUGAAGCUGAGCGGACCUAAGCAGAGGCUGGAGAGCCGUGCUCCUUGGGCACCUCACAGCACAGGGCCACAAAGCUCCUGCUCCUCGAGCUCCGUACAGGCUCUGCUGAUGGAGGUGCUGGUGAGAACCUGGAAGGUGGGAGGAGAGAAGACGGGCAUCUCUUCUUGUUUGCAGCUCCUGUGGUACUCUUCCAGUAACUAACUGCAGAAGUUCCAGCUCCCCACUAGUUUGGUUCUCUGAGCACCAGCCCAAGGGCACCCCACAAAGUCCCAAGGACCAGGCACACAGUACCCUCUUAGAGGUUCCAGCACCAGAGGUAAAAUGGUCGUUCAAUCCCACACAGCCUCUGGUGGCCUAUCCUUCAAGUUCCUACAUUCUGGUAAUGCUAGAUUUUCCCUAGUGUUCUCUCACCCCUAGAGGUGGUAGCUACUUCUUACGGUUGCUAAUUUUGGUGUCUCAACAUCUACUUCAUUCUCUUAGACUUCUAACUUCUGUAUAACCAACUCCUUGUAUUA